rfam:Ascaris lumbricoides genome assembly, scaffold: ALTE_contig0002426
CGGGGCAUAGCUCAGUGGCAGAGCAUUCGACUGCAGAUCGAGAGGUCCCCGGUUCAAA